rnacentral:rRNA from 1 species
GUGCCAGCAGCCGCGGUAAGACGUAGGGGGCGAGCGUUGUCCGGAUUUAUUGGGCGUAAAGAGCUCGUAGGCGGUUGCGUAAGUCGGAUGUGAAAACUCAGGGCUCAACCCUGAGACGCCAUCCGAUACUGCGCUGACUUGAAUCCAGUAGGGGAGUGUGGAAUUCCUGGUGUAGCGGUGAAAUGCGCAGAUAUCAGGAGGAACACCCAUGGCGAAGGCAGCACUCUGGGCUGGUAUUGACGCUGAGGAGCGAAAGCAUGGGUAGCGAACAGGAUUAGAUACCCCCGUAGUCC